CUGGGUUUGAUUUUGGGUUGGAUUUCUGGGUUCAAGGCUUCAAGCUCGGUGAUUCUUCAACCUCGAAGCUUGGUGAUUCUUCAUUCUUCACGCUCGAUUUCUGGGUUCAAGUGGUGAUUCUUCAAGCUCGAUUUCUGGGUUUUGGAUUCGGUGUUUCUGCAAGCUCGGGACUAGCUAUGAUAAUGCCACUUCUGAAGUUGCUGUGAGUAAUCUAAUUAACUUAUUUGAUAAUUCCUGCACUUGAUUUCUUUGUUGAUAAAAUUUCCAGCUACGGACGUGUUUACACUGAUAUACUAAUCCACUGUUUACACUGCAAUUUGGGAAAGUUCUUCUCACACAGGGAUGUCAACGUCAGUAUCUGUAAAUUUGCUACUACUUUCAUCCAUUCUAUUUUUGGCAUUUUGUAACACGUUGGUUUAUAUCCCGUCAUUUUAAUGUUGUAUAGGGAAACUAGACUUUGGAACAUGCAAAGCUCAAAGCUAAGGUGGAGAUUUUACAGAGAAAUCAAGGUUCCGUAGCCUUGCCUUUCUAUCAUAAGCUGAAAUCAAUUAAGGUGUGCCCGUUGUUAGACUGCUGUUCCUCUGUGCAUUGUUUACCGUUAUUCCAGUCUCCUGCUCUUAUUCAGGUGUGUGCUAUUUGAUAUAGAAUUGACGUGUUUGCAUUGGUAUUCAUUAUUGGUCAUGAUGCAGAUUGAUUAAUUCAGUUAUUAUGUGUUUGGAGGUGCUCUUUUGUUUAGAUUUUUUGCACUGUAAUCAUGAUGAUGUUGCAUGUAGUAAUGUGUGUAGA